ACGGGUAGAGUAACGCGUAUGCAACCGUACCUAUCGAGAGGGGGAAUAACCCGGCGAAAGUCGGACUAAUACCGCAUAAAACAGGGGCACCGCAUGGUGAUAUUUGUUAAAGAGAUUCGCUGAUAGAUGGGCAUGCGUUCCAUUAGGUAGUUGGUGAGGUAACGGCUCACCAAGCCGACGAUGGAUAGGGGAACUGAGAGGUUGGUCCCCCCACACUGGUACUGAGACACGGACCAGACUCCUACGGGAGGCAGCAGUGAGGAAUAUUGGUCAAUGGGCGGGAGCCUGAACCAGCCAAGUCGCGUUGAAGGAAGAAGGAUCUAUGGUUCGUAAACUUCUUUUGCAGGGGAAUAAAGUGCAGGACGUGUCCUGUUUUGUAUGUACCCUGAGAAUAAGGAUCGGCUAACUCCGUGCCAGCCGCCGC
rnacentral:rRNA from 1 species